rnacentral:rRNA from 1 species
AUAAGCUAAAUAAGGGCGUAUGGAGGAUGCCUAGGCUUUCAGAGGCGAAGAAGGACGCGAUAAGCUGCGAUAAGCUACGGGGAGAAGCACAUAUUUUAUGAUCCGUAGAUUUCCGAAUGGGGCAACCCGUCAUGUUGAAGACAUGUCACACCUUCGGGUGAGCAAACCUGGUGAACUGAAACAUCUAAGUAACCAGAGGAAGAGAAAACAAAAGUGAUUCCGUUAGUAGUGGCGAGCGAACGCGGAUUAGCCCAAACCAAUGUUGUUACGGCAAUAUUGGGGUUGUAGGGCUGCGACAUUAGAAUCUUAGAGAACUAGAAUCGUUUGGAAAGACGAACCGAAGAGAGUGAUAGUCUCGUAUAGGUAAUCGAAGAGGAUAUAGCAGUACCCUGAGUAGUGCGGGACACGUGUAAUCCUGUAUGAAUCCACCGGGACCAUCCGGUAAGGCUAAAUACUCCUGAAAGACCGAUAGUGAACUAGUACCGUGAGGGAAAGGUGAAAAGAACCCUAAGUAAGGGAGUGAAAGAGAACCUGAAACCGUACGCCUACAAGCGGUCGAAGCACAUUUACUGUGUGACGGCGUGCCUUUUGCAUAAUGAGCCUACGAGUUACUGUUACUAGCAAGGUUAAGAUUUUAAGGAUCGGAGCCGAAGCGAAAGCGAGUCUGAAUAGGGCGACUUUAGUUAGUAGUAGUAGACGCGAAACCGAGUGAUCUACCCAUGGGCAGGUUGAAGCUGUGGUAACACACAGUGGAGGACCGAACCAGUUGACGUUGAAAAGUCUUUGGAUGACCUGUGGGUAGGGGUGAAAGGCCAAUCAAACUCGGAAAUAGCUCGUACUCCCCGAAAUGCAUUUAGGUGCAGCGUUGAUUAAAAGUUUUAUAGAGGUAGAGCUACUGAUUGGAUGCGGGGGCUUCACCGCCUACCAAUUCCUGACAAACUCCGAAUGCUAUAAAAUGUUUUUCAGCAGUGAGGGCAUGGGUGCUAAGGUCCAUGUCCGAGAGGGAAAGAACCCAGACCAUCAGCUAAGGUCCCCAAAUAUAUGUUAAGUUGAAAAAACGAGGUUUGACUGCCCAGACAGCUAGGAUGUUGGCUUGGAAGCAGCCAUUCAUUUAAAGAGUGCGUAACAGCUCACUAGUCGAGCGGUCGAGCAUGGAUAAUAAUCGGGCAUAAACAUAUUACCGAAGCUAUGGACUUUUAAAAGUGGUAGGGGAGCAUUCUAUAUGUGCUGAAGGUGUGCUGUGAGGCAUGCUGGAACGUAUAGAAAAGAAAAUGUAGGCAUAAGUAACGAUAAAGGGGGCGAGAAACCCCCUCACCGAAAGACUAAGGUUUCCUCAGCGAUGCUAAUCAGCUGAGGGUUAGUCGGGACCUAAGGCGAAUCCGAAGGGAGUAGUCGAUGGACAACAGGUUAAUAUUCCUGUACUUCUUAUAACUGCGAUGGGGUGACGGAGUACUGAAAGCACCGCGAACUGACGGAAUAGUUCGUUGAAACAUUUAGGUAUUAGACUGGUAGGCAAAUCCGCCGGUUUAGCUGAAGUGUGAUAGUACCACAAGUCUUCGGAUGCGUGGAUAGUGUGCCUAAAAUCUUCCAAGAAAAACCUCUAAGCUUCAGGUUAUAAGAACCCGUACCGUAAACCGACACAGGUAGUUGGGAUGAGAAUUCUAAGGUGCUCGAGAGAUUCAUGGCUAAGGAACUAGGCAAAAUAGACUCGUAACUUCGGGAGAAGAGUCGCCCUACUCCGGUAGGGCCGCAGUGAAAAGAUCCAGGCGACUGUUUAUCAAAAACACAGGGCUUUGCUAAAUUGAAAGAUGAUGUAUAAGGCCUGACACCUGCCCGGUGCUGGAAGGUUAAGUGGAGUUGUUAGCUUCGGCGAAGCAAUCAAAUGAAGCCCCAGUAAACGGCGGCCGUAACUAUAACGGUCCUAAGGUAGCGAAAUUCCUUGUCGGGUAAGUUCCGACCUGCACGAAUGGUGCAACGAUCUGGAUACUGUCUCAGCCAUGAGCUCGGUGAAAUUGUAGUAUCGGUGAAGAUGCCGAUUACCCGCAGCGGGACGAAAAGACCCCGUGAACCUUUACUAUAGCUUCGUAUUGACUUUGGA